AUUUGAACCUGUCAGACAACCGUGUAACCAUCCCAGCCAGUGGUGAACACUGUCUGAGAACGAUCCUCCACUGCCACAGAUGAGUCUCUCAAAGGAGAGAUCAUCGUAGCCAUUAAUCACGCUCUGAUUACACGGUCACGAUUCAUCAACCAGGCUUAGGUUCUUGUCUCCUUAGAACUCAAGGACACAAUGGUACGAGCCUAUAGAACAGAUCCUGUUCAAGUAAGGUCGUGACCAUUCCUCUCCCGUUUUGCGUAUAUAAACCUUUUCUCAUUUCAGUUAUAUAAAGACUUCUCAUUUUCUAGGUUUCCUCAAUGUGGGACUAAAUUAAUGUUUCUGUAUUUUAUAACUUUGAUGUGUCUACUGUCUAGUGUACAUGUACAUGGAACGUGAUCAUAUUAGUGCUGCCAAAAUGUAAUCAUGUUCCUUAUUUCAUGAUAUCUCUCAAAUGUAUGUUAAUGAAAUGAUACAAAGAGGAAUUAAGAACAUACCCAUAAAUAAAAUAUGGAACACAGAGUUUCUGUACUCUAACUGAAUGAAUAUAAAUGGAGUGUUUGUGGUGCAUCAUGAAAUAACAAGUCAUGUUUCAGACAUAAUGGUAAAUUGCAAACAUGAUUGUUAUUGUCAUAGUCAUAGACCAAUACUCGUUUUUCAUUUUGCUGUAAUAGUAACUUCCAUGACUAUGUUGUCACUGCCCGAAACUGACCAUAAUCUGCAUUAUCUAUAGGAAUGUGCAGUUUUUUCUUCAGUUUUUACAAGAUAUGAACAGAAUAAUGGGAACGGGGAAGUGCAGGAACCGGCUCAUUCAGUUGCUGAGAGAAACUCUUGAAUGGCAAAGUUGUUGGAAGGAGUUGAAGAAGAACAAGGUAUGGAUUGUACUUUCAAAGGAAGAAAAGGAGGAGGACAUUUUCGUCAUGACAGGCACUAGACCUUUUCGAAGACCGAAGAAGAGGCCGAAAAAUGUUAAGAAACAAAUGGAUGUAUGAAUUUUAAUUCACUCUGUGUUUCCAUUAGAUUAAAAACGAAUAUGAUUAUUUUGAAGUGAAAAGCUUUAGUUAAUUUUUGCAGUGUUUUCCCUGGCCUAUGGUUGGUGGGGGUCAGUGUUGAUGCUUACAAGGUAGAAGAAAUGCCACGAAGGUUUUCUUUUAGCUUAAUUGAGUUUUUGGUAAUAAUUUGUAAUUUCUGUGUUGUAUGUGUAGCAAGGGUUUAAAAUGUGGCCUACAUUUGCAUAUGCAACUGCAAAGGUGUACAUUGCAAUAGCUUUUGUGAUUUCUGGCGACAAAUUGCGGGAAUUGCGGCCGAGUUGCAGUUGCAGUUGUGGACUGCAGUUUAAAGCCCUGAAGGGCAAAUAAUAUCAAAGCAUAAUUCAUGUCUUUUAUGUAUCACAAGGGUUUACAUUGUGGUGUGCAAUGGAUUUAUAGCUGACUGGCUGUAAUACUGUGGUCUUGGAAGUUCACUAUUGGCCUAUUGCUUUAACAUUAUUCAAUGCUUCUACCAUCUGAACAAGAUUUUCAAUGCUUUUACCCUUUAAUCUUCUUGAACUGCAAGUGUCAUGUUUAAUUGAUUAAUUGAUGAAUGGUAACUGAUGCCAUAUUCCUUUUUACUUGGAAAUAAUAAUAAUCAUGAAGGGCAAAUAAUAAUAAAUAUAAUAAACAGCUUCUUGCUGCAUCACUAGUAUUGGAGUCUGUAUAUCUUGUAGGUUAUUGUAUGAUGAGAAACCUUAGGCGUUUAUAUUUGGCUUCUUAGACUAUAAAUAUGUUCGAAUCCUUUCUCAAAUUCAUGUUAACAUGUAAAUAAGUUUGUACAAGGAUGAAACUUUGAAAAGUUGCUUACUGCAUACAAACGAAAAUGGCCAUUUAACUUGGGGUGAUAGAUAAAAAUUACAUGCAUAUACCAACCUAUUGGGGUUAAAGACUCCUUCCUAGUUGAGUCUCUUCCUUAAAGUUGCAUGAAUGACUUGCAUGCACAUGAGGACAUACUUUUGUGAGCCAAAAAGUGGACUAACAAGUUUCUUUCUUGAUGAUUCUUCCUCCAACAUCUUCAUCAUCAGUUUCGGUAUCUUCAGCAUCAGAUUCCAUAACUACCUUGUUAAGAAAGCUUUCCUUUUCUUCUUCCUCGCUGAAUUCCAUUGAGUCAUAUCCCAUAACCUUUCUUGUUAGCUCUUCCUUCAAAUAAGUACCACUCUCAUGAAUCGAAGCUUUGGCCUUAAACAAGUAGAUCGACGUCUGCUAGAAAGAAGGUCUUAAAAGUGAAAAGAAGAAAAGGUUAGGGAGCAAAUCUGAAGCUUCUACCUUUAAUAUAUCAAAAUGUCAAACAUAACCUUAUUGCUUUUAUUCUUUCCUUUUUUAUUCUUUCCUUUUGCCAUUGUUAGUUGAGCUAGAGUACACAUGAAAGUGGCAAAACUUGUUCUAAACUUUGAAAACUAUAGAAUUUGUUACUGAAAAUUCUUAGUUUCUCUGUUUCAUAAUAUCUGUUAUGUUCUUUUACAAAGAUUCAAAAUCCAUUAAAUAUUGAGUAUACACAUAUUAUUACAUAUAACAAAUAACUUUAAUAUUUAUAUAUUGCCACUCUAAAGUUUUUACAUAAUAUAUCAUUCAUUAUUCAUUUAUAUUACUAUUGUUAUUUAAGAGUUAAUAAUAAUUAUCAUAUAUAUAGUAGAUAAUGCAUUAACAAUAUAAAAAUACUUAGGUGCAUACAUAUUAAUUCCAUAACUAUUUACGUUAGAAAGUAUAUUUUGGGAUAUAAUAUAACAUCUAUGCAAUAUUGAUAUAAAAAUUUAUAUAUAAUCAAUACAUCAAUUUCACUUAUAUCGCAUAUAUUUAAAAGUCAUUAAUGAUCAAAUACAAUUUAUAAUUGAAACAAUAAUAAGAUAAAAUUUUCUUUCCACUAUUAGUAGAUAUAUUUUUCUUUCCCUAUUAUACAUGAGAAUUCAUAUGAGCAAAACACAUUAUUGUUAGACAAACAAAUAAAUAAAAAAAAUUGUUUUUUCGCAAUUAAAUAAUUAAAGACAUAACUAAAAAAGUUAGGAUAUAUACUAACUAGUUCAUGUAAUCAAUGAAGAUACCAUCUUAGUAUAGGCGAACCAGAGCAUAACAAACCAACAAUUUUCAAAUUUAGACAAAAAAGAGGGUUAUAUGUGUUUUGUGUCUAAAAAUAUAAUGACGACUUCAUUUUUCUUUAAGAAUAAUGGAAGAUAUUCUAGCUCUCUUCCCAUUUUGUGUCCAUAAAUCGGAUCAAGAUGCUAUCCAAACUACCAUUUUAACCAAAGUAAAUUCAACCAUCCCUAGUUAGUUGAAUGUGUCAAAGUUGUUGGUAAUUUACCUUAUAUUUAGGAAGAAGUUGUUUGUUGUUAUUUGUGAUCACGUAAGACUGCUGCUAUCUUUUAGGAGUUUUAGUUGAGUUAGGAGUCUAUUUAAAUUGUUCUUUUCAGUUGUUAUGAUGUGUGAAUUUUAUUUAUUGAUUCAAUAAAAUUAUAUUUGCUUAUAUUUCCUUUAUUUGUCAUCCUACCUUCUAAUUUACACGUGGUAUCAGAGCUAGGUUCAGAAAACCCCUUUCCAACCCCAUUCAAAUGACCAAAAAUAAUAAUUUUGUUCAGCCUUCAAUACAUCGCUUUGAUGGGCACUAUUAUGAUCAUUGGAGCAUGUCAAUGGAGAACUUCAUAAGGUCCAAGGAGUAUUGAGCUAUAGAAUCAGGAUAUCUUGAUUUAGUUGCAGGUGCAACUAAGGUGCAAAAGUUUGAGGCAGACAACUUGAAGUUGAAGGAUUUGAAUGCCAAAAACUAUCUCUUCCAAGCUAUUGAUAGAGUUGUGCUUGAGACUAUCUUGCACAAGGAGACAUAAAAGCAGAUUUGAGAUUCUCUAAAGAAGAAAUUCCAAGGAAAUGCUAGAGCCUAGAGGCAAAAUUGAAGAUCACCCUAAACCCUAAACUUUGUAUCCUAAAAGAAAUAAUUGAAGGAUCUACUUAAAAAUUCUUAAUUAGUCUAUUUUAUGGUAUCUUUUUUUCAUCAUGUUGAUAAUAGAAGAAGAAAGAAAAAUAUUAGAUGUUUAAACGUCACUUCAAAGAACGAGAUGAGGAUCGUUUUUUACAAUAAAACAAUAUCAAAUAAAGGAGUCACUAUCAUUGAAAAUGUAUUGAGAUCCUUGACCACACAAUUUAAUUUUGUUGUUGCAGCCAUAUAAGAAUCACAUGAUCUGGAUGAGAUGACAAUUGAUGAGUUGCAAAACUCAUAACAUAUUCAUGAGCAGAAAAUUGAAAGACAAGAUAAGGAUGGGCAUUUUUUGCAGGCUCAAACACAAGCUUUGCAAGUCUUAACCAAGCCAUGUAAUGGUUCAUGGAAAGGGAAAGGUAGCAAGGAAAUUAAGGGAAAUCAAGAUGGUCACGAGAGAAGCAAAAAGGAGCAACCAGUAAAGGAAAAUCCAAAGUACACAUUAAGUGCCUUCGUUGUCACAGAUUUGGCCAUUAUAAGUCAAAAUGUAGGACCAAUAUGAGCAAAAAAGAGAAAGCAAAUUAUGUUGAGCAAGAUGAGAAAGAAGAUGGGACCUCUUUAUUGAUGGUGUGCCAUACCGGAGAAGAAAAUACCAAGAAAGUGUGUUAUUUAGACACCGGGUGUAGCAAUCACAUGUGUGGAGAUAAGCAGAUUUUCACCGAGCUUGAUGAAACUCUCAGUGACACAGUAAAGUUUGGUGAUCAUUCAACCAUGGAAGUUAAAGGCAAAGGUAAAAUCAGUAUUCAAACAAAAUCAGGUCAGAACAAUCUAUUCAAAAUAUUUUGUUCCUGACCUGAUUUGAAAACUAACUUACUAAGUAUUGGACAACUACAAGAUAAAGACUAUGAAAUUAUGAUAACAAAUGCAGUAUGUCAGUGAAAGAUGUUGAGAUAGCACUGAUUUUACAAGCGAAGAUGACCAACAACAAGAUGUUUCUUGCUUAUUUGCAGAAUUCAAAGUUUAAUUCCUUAGUGGCUAAACAAGAGAGCUUGGCUUGGCUUUGGCACAAUAGAUUUGGCCAUUUACAUUUUGGAGGAUUACAACAAAAGAAUAUGGUAAGAGCACUUCCCAAAAUUGAAUUGCCUUCACGUGUUUGUGAAGAAUGCAUUACCGAUAAAGAACGCAAAGAUGCAUUUCCAAAAGGGGAAGCUAGGAGAGCUCAAAAUAUACUAAAAUUGGUGCAUACAAAUCUUUGUGGACCAGUUACUCCUGAAUCCAAUGGAGGUAAACAUUAUUUUAUAACAUUUAUUAAUGACUUUAGUCAAAAGAAAAAGUGCUAUUUUUUACAGAAUAAAUCAAAAGCAUUUCAAGCAUUCAAACAAUUUAAGAUGCUUGUUGAAAAAGAAUAUAAUUGGUUCAUUAGGAUGUUUAGAUUUGACUGAGGAUGAGAAUUUAACUCUUCUGAAUUGAUAAAAUUUUGUGAAGCUAAUGGCAUCAAAAGGCAGCUUACAAGCUCUUGUACACUGUGAAUACCCACUUUUGUCAGUCCUGUUUUCAACGUUUAAAAUAGACUCCGGUGUAUAUUUAUUAGAGUUAUUUUGUGUAAUAUCAAUAUGUAUGAUGUUAAAGUUUGUGUAUAACAGUACAAAUAUAUAUAUAUAUAUAUAUAUAUAAAUUACAAACAUUGAAAUUUCAUGAACACUUACUUUCCUUGUAAUGAACAAACAAAAAACAACAGCUAAAUCAAACAAUAUCAUGUUAAUCCUCAAAGCUUAAUCGCAAUCAUACCAAUAAUUAAGUAGAAGCAAUUUGGAAUUAUCAACCAGUGAGUUAACUCAAAAAUAGUGUUCACUCUUUAACUUAUCAACUAAAACACUCAUAUAAUAUCCAUCAUUAUCCGAUCUAGUAAACCUGGAAAAAAAUAAAAUAAAAGAAAGGGGACCCCUGAAUUAUCUAACCACCGUGAGACCACUGAAACUGCACCGAUGACAACCGGAGAAGAUGAAGAAGAAAACAGAGAAGCCAACUUGUUCCAGUGCCCCUAACCACCGUGAAACCAGGGUGUUACGUCAAAAAUCAUGCCGGCGUGUCAACCGGAGAAGAAGAAGGAAGGACGGUGGUUCAAGGAACCGUCAUCCUCACCCCGCCGUCGGAACCACGGAGGCUCCACCUCCAUGGCUAAGCCAUAUCCAGGCAGAGACGUGCCACCUCGCAGUCGAGUGGACUCAAGAUCGUAAAGUUGUGACCACCACCGUAAGGGGCGUUGUUUCUUCUGUUAUCUCCAUCGUCCCUUCACCCAGCAGCAUCCCCAUCACCAAAGGCUCUUGGCGGCUCAAUGAAGAAGAGAAUCUCUUUACCCUAUUUCUCCCAAACAAUGAACCUGAUUAUACAAAAUAUGAGCCUCUAAUUUUUACCCAACCUAAUUUGCUUCCCCUUGGGCCUUUUCUUUUUCGUUUUAAGCAUUAAAGCCCAUACUAAAUCUAUUUCAUCAAUUAUGCUAAUUUAUUAUUCAAUUGAAAGUAUAGGAAGUUAAUUGGUUCCUCGGGUAACAGUAAAAUGGAAUGCUAUAAUUUUUACAAUAAUAGUAUCUUAUCAUUACAAAAUUAAAUAUUUGAAAUAUCUUAAUAAAUUCUCUAAUCACAGUGUGUAUUGAAAUGUAUUAGGGACUAUAUGCAUAUUAUUAAUUAAUUGGUUAUUGUAUGCGUGUUGGUAAAACUAAGAUAGUUCAUGUGUUUAAUUGUAUGAAUUUGAUUCAAAUUUUUAAGCAAAUUAAUUGUGAUAAAUUAUUAUUAUUUUUGAAUUAAUAACGGGGUUACAACUCAUAUUGCAUCGUUCUCCUUAUUUCGAGCCGAGAACCGGUCGUGGUCACUUGUACUGCUUCUGCUAUCUAUCGAAAUAGGAAGAGGGUAAGCAAUCAAUGUUGAUUCUUCGUCUAUUAAUCUCACUCCAACUAAACUCAAACAAAUUUCUAACAAUUUUUAACUUUCUUUUUAAAUCCAACCAAAUUAAAAAAAAAAUUAAGAACUACGUAGUCUUGAUUUCCCUAUUGCACCCGGGGAUACGUAGGAGUAAUAUGAACUUAUCACACACAAAUAAAAAAAUAAAAAAUAUUUUGUUUAAGCAAUUUAAUUUAAAUAAAUUAAGGGUAUUCAAUGUAUGCAAUUAGUUAGGGUACCGUUUUAUUACGGGCGAACGGGGUGCUAAUACCUUCCCCAAUUCGUAAUCGACUCCCGAACCUGGAUAUCAAAAAUCCAAAAGCCCAAUGUGAUUGGACUUUAAAUAUUUUUCUACAUUUUUAACCAUAAAAUGUAGUGGCGACUCUAAGAGGUCGCGUAACCAAAAAUUGUGGCGCGACAACUGGUGACUCUGCUGGGGAAUAUUUUUUUUAAGAGGGUCAGGCCCAAUACCACUUUUUGCAUGUUUGUUUUAUACCCUUAUGCCUUCUUUGUUUGUGCAAACUUGUGUAUGUAUCUUUAUUUAUGUUAUUUAUUUAUUUUUCAAGUCAAUUAAUUAUCUUGAACGUACUCACCUAUUUCUUUUGCAGUUUUUGGGGGGUGGAUUUAUUUUAUGGUCUAUGUGUUUCCUCACACACUCACUUGGUACACUUGAGUUGCACACGCCCUACACCCGGGUGUUAGAGAUUAAGAUUAAGAUAGGGGACAUUUGCUUUGCCGGUAAGUGACCUUGUGUCGCAUCGGGUAUUGGCGUGAUGAACCAUCCAGAUUGUUCCCAUAUAUCAUAAGUUGGCCGCUUGGGGAGCCGGUCUCUUCUCGUAACUAGCUCAUGAUAUAUGGUUUCCAUUCUUUUUAAGAUUGGAUGCAAUCUGGUGACCUUUAGAAGUCUAGAGCUUUAUCGAGUCCACUUUAGUCAAGACCUAGCAUUCCAUCAUAGGGUUGCAGCUUUCAGGAAAAAAACCCUUCUAAGUAUACCUUAUAUAGGACACAGGAAGCAAACCUUAAUCCACUUUCCAGUUGCAUCAAUGUACACUCUGAAACGUGAUUUCCAUCAUUCCAAAUUAUUUUAAAUAUGUUACUGAAAUAUUUUUUUAUUAAACAUGAUUUAUAACUUACCCCCUAUAUGCCCAAAUACCCUCGGGGCAUUUUUAUAGCAACAAAAUUGGAUUGUACUUUUUUAUAUUUCAUUAUUCUAUAUCAAACAUUUUCAUUUUAUACUUCAUUACAUAUCAUAUAUCAUUACAUUCUAUAUAACAUCACAAAUCAUUAUGUUCAUGCAUUUAAGUAACAUUUUUUUAUCAUCCUUAAUAAACAGAUUCCUUUUCAGAAAAGAGAUUCGCGGUAUAGUGAGACAUGGAGGCUGAUUCUCUUGUUAUGGGUCAAAGCAAUAAUUUAUUGGUGAAAAGGGGAGUAAAAGCUGAGGUACAAAGAAUAGAUGUGAGCUGUUUGAUAGAGUUGAUCCCACAGAUCCCUCAAGAAAUUCAGAAUGAGUUCAACAAAGAGUAUGGAAGGCUGAUUGAUCUACUCCUUAUCACCGUUGAUGCAGAUACACUGAAAGUUAUGGGUGCCAUGGUUCAGUAUUGGAGUCCAACUCUGAGAGUAUUUGAGUUUCCUAACUUAGAUGCAUCACCUAUGAUCGAAGAAUAUGAGGUUCUGCUGGAUAUUCAGGUUCGAGAUAGAGAGAAAGUUUAUUUGUUCACUGAGGCUCAGAAUGUUACAGAAGACUUGAUAGAGAGGCUCAUUGGGGUACGCCCGAGUUCGACUAACAUCAUCAAACAGGGGAUGACCUUUGGGCUCAGAUGGAAAUUUGGGAAGAAACAUAUCAGUCAAACAGCGGAGCAAGGAAAAUGGGAGUUAUUCAAACCAGCAUUCGCCUUGGCAGUCUAUGGCAUGAUCUUGUUCCCAUUUGUCCAUGACAUGAUUGAUCAGGCGGCCAUUGAUGUGUUCGCGAAGUUCAGGUCGUUUGGAGCCAACCCAGUCCCAGCUAUCGUGGCAGAGACCCUGCUAUCGUUCCAAAUGUGUAUGAAAAGGGUCAUUUCAAGAUCCGAUAUUGUACUCAAUUGUUGCAUGUGUGGAUGAUCACUAGAUUCAAACACUAUCAGUAUCCGGAUUGGAGCAGACAUCCCCUCUUGAGGUUCAGAAAUAUUAUGGUGAAACCAAUGCAGUUGUUGGACUGGAAAAAGUUGUUUAACGAGGUUACUCCUAGGAACUUUGGUACAAAGACUCGCUUCUAUGAGACACUCAGCAAUCAUGUAUUCUUGCGGGGAGUACCCAAAUAUGAUAUUAAUGGGGCCUCGAGGAUGCAUUUCCUUCUCCCCACCUCUGAUAUUUGGUCACCUCAAAUGGGGAAUGACACCGGUACGACCCGAACAGCUACAGGGAUUCUCCAUAUGGUACAAAAGCGAGGAGGCCACCAAAGAGAAAUUGGACUCAAUCAAAAAUGCUCUAAAAAGGAUUCGUCUUUGUGGGCUAAACGAGUUGGGAGAACAUCGGGUCUUUUACACUGAUGAAUAUAAGUUAUGGCGCAGCGGAAGGCGAAAUGGUCAGGCUGUCCCAUCAAUUGCCCAACCACAGAAACCAUCUGGUCCAACUGAGAACGAGUUGUUGAAGGAACAUAUCAAGCUCUUAGAGGAAAAGCUAGAAGAAGCUAGAGACACACAUGACAAGGAUAAUCUGGGUCUUGAAAAGCUCAACAAAAUCAUCACCAAUAUGAAGAAGGAUCAAACAAGCCUUAAAAGGGACUAUGCUGAAAUGUGCUCUCAGUCAGGAAAGGUUCGCCUAAUUCGGACAGUAAAAGAGAAAGAUGCAGAGAUAGCUGACCAUGUCGAUCGGUUGAAAGCGCAAAGUCAUGCCACAUGCAAGGCUCAAGCCAAAGCAAAGUCUCUAGAACUUGAAAUAGAGUAGAUAAGACAGAGUGAAAGGCAAGCAUGGUCUACUGUUAAAGACUAUCAGUUGAUAUUGGGUGAAGGACAACAGAAAGAAGAUAACCUCAAAGCCAGCCUCGAAGCUUCAGAGAAAGCCUGCUAUGAUGCAUUAACAGAAGCAAGUCAUCUAUCAGAACAACUUCGAAAACUCAGAACUGCAUAUGAUGAAUUAGUGGCCAGCCAGGAAAAUUGGUCAGAUAAUUGGAAGGGAGUACUCGAAGAAAGUCAAUGGGAGAUAAAAAAUGGGAAGGGAGAUGCAUACAAUUAGUUGAUGGUCUCGGUGAUUUUUCUGAUGAUUGGUUGAAGUUGUUCUACGAAGCUAGACAAGAGAUGACAAUGUACCCGGAAACAGAGCUUCUUCCAGAAAUGAAGGCAUUUUUUGAAACUUGUGGGGGAAUAGCUAGACAACUUAAAAAAUGGCGGGUUGAGGCUACAAAAUAAUUUUAGAAAUAAGGAAUAGGAGAAUAAACAAUAAACGAAUUGUAAUCCUUUGCUUGANNNNNNNNNNNNNNNNNNNNNNNNNNNNNNNNNNNNNNNNNNNNNNNNNNNNNNNNNNNNNNNNNNNNNNNNNNNNNNNNNNNNNNNNNNNNNNNNNNNNAAUGUAGGGCAAGACGUUUAAUGCUAACAACCUCUAACAAGAGAACGAACAAAGAUGCAAUCGAGGUUAGAAACUUGAAGGUUCACUCUAAAAUUGACGUCAACGUAAAAAUGAGACAAUAGGGGCACGCCUCAAGGUCGACAGAAUGCGGGUCGAAAUGUCUUGCUAUAUUGAUCCUCCAUACGAAGAGGAAUUUAAAUUUUUUGUUCUUGCAUGCAUCAUUUUUGUUCACUUAAAUAAAAUGAAAAUUUUCUCACCCAGGUAUCAUAUAAACAUUGCUCCUAAGCAUCCUUACCACACCAGAUUCUAAUCCAAGCUGAUGGCAGACCAAGAAUCCAGUAGCAUUGAUAACAAGUUCGAGCUUGCUGAGAUCAAAGAGCAAAGGAGUCAGAUGAUGAAAAUCAUCUUAGAUAUGCAAAAGGCUCGAGACUAUGAAAAAAAUACCACUGCCCCAGGUACCAAACAACCACAACCCGUACAAAAGGUGGCUCCAAAGGCAAUUACUGGGACCAACCGUCAUAAGGGUGUUGUCAUAAGGUAUGAAGACACUACUGAUGGUCAAGAGGAACAAGAUUCUGCUGAGGAAGACGACGACGAGCAAGAUGAAGAUCCUACUCACGAUCUUCCACCUAAAGGCAAGCCCACAAGCCACCAGGCUGAAACUAAGAUAAACAAGGGUACCCCAAGUGACUCCUCAAGCUAAGAAAAGGCAGAGUUGGAGCUUAUUAAAGGGAGACUAAGGGCCAUUGAGGGCACAACUUUCCUGAUGUAAAAAAUGCAUUUGAGAUGUGCCUAGUACCAGAUGUGGUGUUUCCACCAAAAUUUAAAACUCCUGAGUUCGAGAAGUACGACGGUACUUCCUGCCUGAAAACUCAUUUGCAUAUGUACGCCGGGAAGAUGACUGCUCAUCACGGAAACGAUAAAUUGUUGAUUCAUUGCUUCCAAGAUAGUCUGACAGGGGCAGCCAUGGGAUGGUACAUCCGAUUAGAGAAGGCUCAGAUUAAAACUUUUGUCGAUUUAUCGAAUGCCUUCAUGAAGCAGUAUAAGUAUAAUGAAGAUGAUGCCCCCGACAAGGCCCAGCUUCAGAGCAUGGUCAAGAAACCAGAGGAGAGCUUUAAGGAGUAUACCCAACGCUGGAGAGCUUUGGCAUCACAAGUCAUACCUAGGUUGGAGGAGGAAGAAAGUUGUAUAUCAUCGUGGAUACUUUGAAGGAGCCCUAUUAUGAUUAUUUGGUGGGAAGUGUUGCAUCGAGCUUCAAUGCACUCAUUAAGGUUGGGGAGAAAAUAGAAGGAUGCAUAAGGAGUGGAAAGCUGGUAGUAGAUCAGCCCAAAUCAGGCACAGGCAAGAAGCCCAACUUUAUGAAGAAGAAUGAGGGAGAAGCACUGGCGGUGUUCAUUGAGCCGAAGGGAUAUAAGGCUCAAAACCCUAAAUACCAGGCCUCAUACAUUGCCACACCUCCCACACAGCCCAACUACACCGCCCACAAUAACAACCGCCAAAACUAUAACCAAACACAACCCUACCAACCCCGUCAAAACCACAACCAAACACAGACCUACCAAAAUCAAACCCAAAACCGCAAUUACCCAAAUCCCGAAAGAAGAGGCCCACAAUUCGAUCCCAUACCUAUAUCUUAUGCAGAACUAUACAAUCAUCUGUUAAGGGAGAGAAUGAUAAGCCUUAUAGUAGGAAUAGUGCCCGAAUCACCUAGGGCUUAGUUUAAUCCCAAUGUUACCUGUGAGUACCACUCUGGAGUCAUUGGCCACUCUAUCGAACAUUGUAAGUCUUUAAAGCAUAAGGUGCAAAACCUAAUCAAUGCCAAACAACUACAUUUCAAGCCUAUUGUGCCAGACGUGGACAGAAACACAUUACCUAAUCAUGGUAAUCAGGGUGUGAAUGUUGUAGAGGAGGCUCAAGGUAGAGCAUUCAUUUGGGAAGCAAAUUAAGUAAAAACACCCAUGAGGGUAAUUUUUCAAGAGAUGUGUAAGCGUGGGAUGGUGGAAAAGAUGGUGGAAGAUGAAAAUUCAACUGAUUGUGAUUUGCAUGGCGAAAUUGGUCAUACCCUAGAGGAGUGUCCAGAAUUUAAGAUCUUGUUGCAGAAAAUGUUGGAUAUGAGGUUGAUCACAAUAGAGAGGGGGCCUUCAUAUCAAGUUGUUAACGCUACCACUAGAAGUGAGGAAGACAUGAGAAGGACUAUGAGACCAUCAAUUACUCGAUAUGAACCUAUAUUGAACAUUCCGAAUAAUGCUCAGUUACACCCACAAAUAACUCGAUAGAUGCCAGUCAUAAGUAGGAUGAAGCAUGUUCUGAGACCUGCUGUAGAAGAGAAACCACAACCUUUCCCUUACAAAACAGAUAAAGCGGUACCAUGGAUCUAUAGUGGAGGGAAUUCAGAGACAACUGAGCAAUAUAUAGAAGUCACCAAUGUUGUUGGGGAUACUCGGAUAACUAGAAGUGGACGUGUCUAUGUUCCCUCAGAUGCUGAAAAGGCCUGAGCCAGAGAUAAAGGAAAUAGGAAAGUAUCUAUCCCUGUAGAAGAUGAACUGGAGGCCAAUCUGAAUGACCUGUUGCAUAAUCAUGGAAAUAAAGGGGAAAUAUCUAAUGAAGAGGCUUGUGAAUUUCUGAAGUUCAUAAAGCAGAGUAAGUAUAAGGUCGUGGAUCAACUGAACCGCACUCCAGCCAGGAUAUCCAUUUUGUCUCUACUAAUGAGCUCUGAACCCCACAGAAAAGUGCUAAUGGAGAUACUGAAUCGCGCACAUGUUAGCCACGACAUAACCAUUGACAAGCUUGGUGGUAUCAUCAAUAACAUUGUGGCCGACAAUUACAUAUCUUUUAGUGACCAGGAAAUACCUUCUGAGGGAAUGGGACACACUAACCCUCUGCACAUCUCUAUAAUGUAUCAGAAUUUCCUAAUUGGCAAAUUUCUUAUCGAUAAUGGCUCAUCUCUCAAUGUCAUGUCGAAAAGGAUGUUGUCUAGGCUUCCAGUCGAUGCAUCGUAUAUNAUAUGAGACCAAGCUCUAUGGUGGUGAAGGCAUUUGAUGGAUCCAACAGGGAUGUCAUGGGAGAAAUGGAGUUGCCUAUAAAAAUAGGACCCUGCAUUUUCCAAAUAGUAUUCCAUAUCAUGAACAUUAAUCCCAGUUACAGCUGUUUGUUGGGGAGGCCGUGGAUCCAUGCUUCAGGGGUUGUACCAUCUACAUUGCACCAACGAGUUAAGUUUAUAGUGGAUGGAAAACUCCUUACUAUUCUUGGAGAAGAAGAUAUGUUGGUAUCAAGAUCUCUUGACACUCUGUACUUUGAAGCAGCAGAGGAAGCUAUUGGAACAUCCUUCCAAGCACUAGAGAUUGCCAAUGUUUCAUUUGUAGGAGGGGGGACACCUACACUACACCCCCAACCUUCGGAGGCAUCAAUGAUGAUGGCUAGAGUAAUGUUGCAGAAGGGCUACCAACCUGGAAAAGGGCUCGAGAAGUUUGGCCAAGGAAGAGAAAAUAUCAUCAUGAUACAUCACACUAAAGAUCGAUAUGGCCUGGGAUAUAGACCCACCCGGGAAGAUAGGGAAAUAACUGUUGAAGAGAAGAAGAAAAGAAGAAUGGCUCGCCUGGGGAAGUGGGAGUAUGAAGCUGGAGGGAUGUUCAUCCCACACAUUAGCAGGAGCUUUGUUAGUGCAGGCUUGGAACCUAGAAUGAUUGCUGUUUUGGGAAGUGAUGAUUCAGAAGAUGGGGCAGACUACAUUGUUCAGUGUCCUCCAGGCACCACUCUCAACAACUGGAUAGAGGAAGAUGCAUCUCCACAAGUGUUUUUAGAAACAAUGUAAUAAGAUGCUAGAAUCCUUUAGCCAUGUCUAAAGCUAUUGGAUUUAUUUUCUUUCUUUUUGAAUAAGGACACCUAUUUAUUUUUCAUCUAAUAGUACAAGUUUUGAAUUCAAUAAAAUGCAUUCCUUUCUUCAUAUUAUGUGUUUCAUUCUAUUCUUCAUUUUUUUUUUACUUGCACACACUAAAGCAAGCACACACAAAAGGUAAAAGCAUGAAAAAAAUAAAAAUAAUAAUAACUAAUCACAACCUCAACCUAAUGCAGAUCCAACUUUAACUCCAGAAAUAAUAAUCAUGUUAUGAGCCACACAUACAAUCAUGAUCAUCCAGUUAAUCAGCUCAAUGAAGAAGAUAAUGAUGAAGAAUGGGAAGCAUCACCUGAGUUAUUAGGGAUGGUUGAGCAGGAGUCCAGAGAGAUUAAGCCUUAUGAAGAGCCCACUGAGCUAGUAAAUUUGGGGACAGAGGACGACAAAAGGGAAGUGAAAGUAGGUACAUUGAUGAAAGAGGAAGAACGUAAAAAGAUGAUUCAACUUCUACAUGAGUUCAAAGAUGUGUUCGCUUGGUCGUAUGUUGACAUGCCUGGUCUGGAUAUAAACAUAGUGGAACACAAGCUACCUUUGAAUCCAGAUUCGCGUCCGGUUAAGCAGAAGCUACGAAGGAUAAAGCCAGAUAUUUCCUUAAGGGUGAAAGAGGAGGUGGAGAAAUGGCUAGAUGCUGGAUUCGUGACGGUUUCUACAUAUCCAGGUUGGGUGGCCAAUGUUGUGGCAGUACCAAAGAAAGAAGGCAAACUCAGGAUCUGCAUUGACUAUCGAGAUUUGAACAAAGCUAUCCCAAAUGAUGAUUUCCCGGUACCUCAUAUAGACGUAUUGGUUGACAACACUGCAGACCAUGCUCUUUUCUCCUUCAUGGAUGGGUACUCAGGUUACCAUCAGAUCAAGAUGGCUUCAGAAGAUGUGGAUAAAACUACUUUCAUCACCCCCAUGGGGAACCUUUUGCUAUCUAGUCAUACCUUUUGGUCUUAAGAAUGCUAUGGCCACAUACCAAAGGGCCAUGGUAGCUAUUUUCCACGACAUGAUGCAUAAGGAGGUGGAGAUCUAUGUAGACGACAUCAUAUGCAAGUCCAAAUCAGAGGGGGGACACAUGGAGAAUUUAAGGAAGUUGUUUGAAUGACUCAGAAAAUAUAGCCUCAAGCUAAAUCCUACAAAAUGUAGCUUUGGGGUUAAAUCAGGGCGAGUCCUUGGUUUCAUUGNNNNNNNNNNNNNNNNNNNNNNNNNNNNNNNNNNNNNNNNNNNNNNNNNNNNNNNNNNNNNNNNNNNNNNNNNNNNNNNNNNNNNNNNNNNNNNNNNNNNCUUAAACUAUAUAUCCAAAUUCAUUUCUCAGCUAACAGCUACAUGUGAACCAAUUUUCAAGCUAUUAAGGAAGAGUCGGGCAGUUCAAUGGAAUGGCGAUUGCCAUAGAGCCUUUGAAAGCAUAAAGGAAUAUUUGACCAAACCCCCAAUAUUAAUGCCUCCAGUACCUGGUCGACCUCUUCUAAUGUACCUAACAGUGCUAGAGGACUCCAUGGGAUGUGUCUUAGCCCAACAUGAUGAAUCAAACAGAAAAGAGCAGGCCAUAUACUAUCUGAGUAAGAAGUUCACUGAAUACGAGACAAGAUACUCACUGCUAGAACGUACAUGUUGUGCGUUAGCAUGGGCAUCUCGUCGAUUGAGGCAAUAUAUGUUGAGUCACACCACUUGGCUGAUUUUGAAGAUGGAUCUUGUGAAGUAUAUCUUUGAGAAACCAAUAUUAACAUGAAGAAUCACUCGGUGGCAAGUCUUAUUGUCGGAACAUGAUAUAGUAUAUGUGACACGGAAAGCAAUCAAAGGUAGUGCCCUUGCAGAUUAUCUUGCUAGCCACCCAUAGAGAAGACCGAACCAAUGAACCAAGAGUUCCCAUAUGAGGGUAUCAUGAGUCUAUCCCUGGGAGAACCAACAAAAGAUGGUGUGUGGACGUUAGUAUUCGACGGGGCAUCCAAUGCACUCGGACACGGCAUAGGGGUCGUACUCGUAUCUCCAGAAGGCGACUUCCUAUUACUACCAGGUUAUGCUUUGAUUGCACCAACAAUAUAGCCGAAUAUGAGGCAUGCGCCCUGGGUUUACAGGCAGCAUUAGAAAGAAAGGUUAAAAUUCUAGAGGUCUUCGGGGACUUAGCCCUGGUCAUCCAUCAGCUAAAAGGAGAAUGGGAGACCCGUGAAAACAAACUAGCACCUUACAAGGAGUAUAUCCAUAGAAUGGCUGAACACUUCGAGAAGAUCGACUUCUACCACAUUCUGAGGGAGGAUAACAGAUUAGUCGAUGCUUUAUCCACAUUAUCCUCAAUGUUCCAUAUCAGUGGGAAAGAUCAACCUCUCAUCAAAAUAGAAAGUAGAGAUCAACCAAUCCAUUGUUGUGCUCUAGAAGUAGAGCAAGAUGGAAAGCCAUGGUAUCAUGACAUCAAAGUCUAUAUACAGAAAAAGGAGUAUCCAAUUGGUGCUUCUGAAACUGAUAAGAGAACCUUGAGAAGACUAGCCAUGGGUUUCUUUCUAGACGGUGACGUUCUUUACAAAAGAAAUCAUGACAUGGUACUCCUCAGAUGCCUAGAAGAGAAAGAAGCUGAAGUAAUACUCAAGGAUGUACAUGAAGGCUCGUUUGGAACUCAUGCAAACGGACAUGCUAUGCAUGAAAAUUUUUAAGGGCAGGUUACUUUUGGAUGAAUAUGGAGACAGACUGUUGUACUUAUGUCAGGAAAUGCCACAAAUGCCAAAUUUAUGCAGACAAUAUCAAUGCUCCACCAAAUCCUCUAAAUGUCCUUUCAGCACCAUGGCCUUUCUCCAUGUGGGGAAUGGAUGUUAUCGGACCAAUAGAACCGAAGGCUUCCAAUGGACAUUGUUUCAUCCUCGUGGCCAUCGACUACUUCACAAAGUGGGUUGAGGUAUGUUCAUAUGCCAAUGUGACCAGAACAGUGGUACUACGAUUUAUCAAGAAAGAGUUAGUGUGUAGAUAUGGGUUACCCAGCAAGAUCAUCACGGACAAUGCCACAAACCUGAACAACAAGAUGAUGACCAAGAUGUGUAGUGAAUUCAAGAUCAAGCAUCAUACAUCUUCACCUUAUCGUCCUAAGAUGAAUGGAGCAGUAGAAGCAGCAAACAAAAAUAUUAAGAAGUUUGUUCAGAAGAUGGUGGUAACAUACAAGGAUUGGCAUGAAAUGUUACCCUUUGCUCUACAUGGGUAUCGCACAUCCAUACGCACAUCAACUGGAGCAACACCUUACUCGCUAGUGUAUGGAAUGGAGGCAGUGCUCCCAAUUGAAGUAGAAAUUCCGUCACUCAGAAUCAUGGCAGAAUCAGGAUUGAAGGAAUCAGAAUGGAUCCAAGCGCGGUACGACCAACUGAACAUGAUAGAAGAAAAAAGAUUAGCUAAUUAGUUGCUAUAUGUCAUGGUCAAUUAUAGCAGAAAAGGCUCAUGAGAUCUUAUGCUAAGAAAGUUCGACCGUGCCAUUUUCAAGAGGGGGAUCUGGUGCUUAAGAAGAUACUCCCAAUACAUAAAGACCAUAGGGGGAAGUGGGCCCCAAAUUAUGAAGGACCAUUCAUGGUGAAAAAGGCGAUCUCUUGAGAAGCAUUGAUAUUGACCACUAUGGACGGAAAUGACCUACCUCUUUCGGUAAAUUCAGAUGUCGUGAAGAAAUAUUAUGCUUGAGAGACCUUUCAAAAGCUUUGCAAGUCUCAACCAAGCCAUGUCAUGGUUCAUGGAAAGGGAAAGGUAGCAAGGAAAUUAAGGGAAAUCAAAGAAGAUGGUCACGAGAGAAGCAAAAAGGAGCAACCAGUAAAGGAAAAUCCAAAGUACACAUUAAGUGCCUUCGUUGUGACAGAUUUGGCCAUUAUAAGUCAGAAUGUAGGACCAAUAUGAGCAAAAAGGAGAAAGCAAAUUAUGUUGAGCAAGAUGAGAAAGAAGAUGGGACCUCUUUAUUGAUGGUGUGCCAUACCGGAGAAGAAAAUACCAAGAACGUGUGGUAUUUAGACAUCGGGUGUAGCAAUCACAUGUGUGGAGAUAAGCAGACUUUCACCGAGCUUGAUGAAACUCUCAGUGACACAGUAAAGUUUGGUGAUCAUUCAACCAUGGAAGUUAAAGGCAAAGGUAAAAUCAGUAUUCAAACAAAAUCAGGUCAGAACAAUCUAUUCAAAAUAUUUUGUUCCUGACCUGAUUUGAAAACUAACUUAUUAAGUAUUGGACAACUACAAGAUAAAGUCUAUGAAAUUAUGAUAACAAAUGGAAUAUGUCAGGUGAAAGAUGUUGAGAUAGGACUGAUUUUACAAGCAAAGAUGACCAACAACAAGAUGUUUCUUGCUUAUUUGCAGAAUUCAAAGUUUAAUUGCUUAGUGGCUGAACAAGAGAGCUUGGCUUGGCUUUGGCACAAUAGAUUUGGCCAUUUACAUUUUGGAGGAUUACAACAAAAGAAAAUGGUAAGAGCACUUCCCAAAAUUGAAUUGCCUUCACGUGUUUGUGAAGAAUGCAUUACCAGUAAACAACGCAAAGAUGCAUUUCCAAAAGGGGAGGCUAUGAGAGCUCAAAAUAUACUAAAAUUGGUGCAUACAGAUCUUUGUGGACCAAUUACUCCUGAAUCCAAUGGAGGUAAACAUUAUUUUAUAACAUUUAUUAAUGACUUUAGUCAAAAGACAAAGUGCUAUUUUUUACAGAAUAAAUCAAAAGCAUUUCAAGCAUUCAAACAAUUUAAGAUGCUUGUUGAAAAAGAAUCUAAUUGCUUCAUUAGGAUGUUUAGAUCUGACUGAGGAUGAGAGUUUAACUCCUCUGAAUUGAUAAAAUUUUGUGAAGCUAAUGGCAUCAAAAGGCGGCUUACAAGCUCUUAUACACUGUGAAUACCCACUUUUGUCCGGUCCUAUUUUCAACGUUUAAAAUAGACUCCGGUGUAUAUUUAUUAGAGUUAUUUUGUGUAAUAUCGAUAUGUGUGAUGUUAAAGUUUGUGUAUAACUUGUCAGUUUGAAGAGAAAAAAAAUUUGACGGGCUAGAAGUUGGGCCUUUAAAUUUAAUCAUCAAUUCCUCAAACUGAUUUCUUUAAUUUAACCACUACAUUGUUCAUAACAUUAUAGGUCCUUUUCUUUAAUUUAUUUGCAAUAAAACUUAUUAUGGUAAAUACUUAUAAACUGUUUUCUAACAAUAAAAAUAUAUAUUAAUAUUUAACUCGAAAAUAGGAAAUAUAUAAUAAACAUAUAUGAUUAAACUGAAGUAACAUACUGGUUGGUAAUAAUCCCUGAAAUUGGGGAAGCAGUAGGUGAAAGUGGAGUUGUUACCCAACUUUUAGGAGGGGAAGUUGUUGGCAUUAAAGAAGGAGAAAGUGUUGAGAAAAGGGGAGGACAACACGAAAAAGAAAAGGAGGUAACAAGUACAAAAGAAGAACUGAACAAAAGGGGCAUUGAAUAAAAAGAAGAAAAAAGCAUAAUGUUAUUAAAAUUAAAGGCAAGAGCAGAGGAAUCAAGGAUACAAAAAGCAAGGUAUAUACAAAAGGGAAAUCUAAAACAUGUUAGUAAUCAUGUGUAUUAUUAACAUUUUUAGUCUUUAACAUAAUGCAUAUCAUUAAGUCUUCACGGUACAUCCAUGAUAAUAUUUUCGUGAUAUACUUUCAGUUUUACCUUGUAUUUUGGAAGAAGUUGUGAGUUGUUAUUUGUGAUCAUAUGAGACUCUUGCUAUCUUUUAGAAGUUUUAGAGUUAGGAUUCUAUUUAAAUUGUUCUCUUUAGUUAUUAUGAUGUGUGAAUUUUGUUUAUUGAUUACAUUUUGCUUCAAUUUCCCUUAUCUUUGUUGCUACCUUCUUCUAAUUUACAUCUCUACAUGUCCUAAAUGGUGUCUCUUCCAUGUCUAGAGCCAAUCAGAAUGUGACUUUUGUUAUUUUUUGUUUUUAAAGAUUUUCUUUUAUUCAUGUGACAAUAUGUGAUAGACUUAGGACGGGGAAUGAAACACGGUUGGGGACAUGUGAUUUUUAUCCCUCACCCAAAACCUGACACCCAACUUUCCACACCUUAUGCAUUCAUCAAUAUCUAGGUCAAUCGGUUAACAAUGAUCAUCGUGAACCACCAUUUUUCAACUGCAUUUGCAGAGAUCCUGUGAAAUCAAAGUUUUUUUCCUUUUUAUCUUCGUCAAUGUCUUAUCCGUUUCAUUUUUUAAGCAACUAUACUUCAUUCAGUAAGGGUGUUCAAAUUAAUUUCAUAAAGCUAAACCAAAUAUAUUUUUGGUAAGGCCAUCCAAAUUUAUUUCGGAUGAGUUAAAAAUAUAUGCUUCGAUUGAGCUUUUCAAAAUUAAUUUCGAUGCCCUUGAACUCUGUUCUUUAAUGGUGACAACAAGGGUCUGGUUCAUAGUGGUAUUAUUACAUAUUGAAUUUGACUGAUUUGUAAUUACCUAUUGGUUUCUCACCCACACUUUCUCACCCACACUUUCUCAAAACCAAUAUUAUAUUUUAAAUUUUUCCUAAGAUUAUUUUUAUUAUGUGUAAUCUAAAAAAUCAAAUACAAUUUUGUUGUUUUAAAUUUUAGUUGUUUCUAUGCAUUUUAUAUUUUUUGAAUUUUAUUUAUUUUUUAAAUAAAUCAAAUAUAAUGUUAGGUAUGAGGAAUAAGUUAUGCAUCAAGAAGAUGAGUAUGACGUUUUUGGUAAAAGGAAUAGUUCAAGAAGUUAGGGCAAUUUUUAAAUGUAUUUAGACUGUUAUAAGUUUUAACUUUUAAAUAAAAGCUUGUGUAUAUUAGUUUUAAGGGUGAGAUCCACUUACUCUAAGAAUAAAUUUUUUAAACUUACUUCAUAUCUUAGUCAUCAAUUAUUGGAAAAUCUAAUAGUUUGAAAUAAUGAAUAGAUUUAAAUUUUUUUUUUUUGUAAAAGGAAUAGUUCAAAGAGUUAGGGCAAUUUUUAAAUGUCUUUAGACUGUUGUAAGUUUUUUAAGUUUACUUCAUAUCUUAGUCAUCAAUUAUUCGGAAAUCCAAUGGUUUGAAAUAAUGAAUAAAUUUAAAUUGUUGGAUUUCUCAAGAAUUGAUACCUAAAAUGUGAAGUUUAGAGUAAAUGGAUUUCUUCUCUAAUUUUAAGUAUGUUGUGUUAUUUAUUUGGAGUAAAAUAGCUUCACUCAUAGUUUAGAUAAUCUCAUUAAAUAAUUGGAGAAUAUAUUAACCUUUCGAUUAUUUAUUCAAAUUUAAAAAAUAAGUAAUUUUUUUCAUGAAAAAAAGUGAUACAUGUUAAAUAAAAGUAAUAAUAAAAAAUGAAGAGGAUCAUCUCAAUCACUUGCUAAUAACCCAUUUAUGAUAACUUAUUUAUGUUAUUUUUCUUAUUAUGAAUAGGGGUGAAUAUACUCACUUUUUAUUAAGUUUAAACACUAUAUUAAGUGGUUAAUGGCAUCUAUCCAUCUCUCAUUUAGAAAUUCUACAUGAUUAUUUUUGUUAUAAUGAAAAGUACCCCUAUAAAAGAAACUAGUCAUUUUUUGGUGUAUGACUAUUAAUUUUAAUAAAUAUUACUUACAAAAGUCAAACAUUUUAGCUUAAUAUUUGAUGAUUUAAUAAGACCUUAGACUAGACCAACACAAGGUUGGUGAUACAAUUGACAUAUAUGAAUUAAAAAAGUUGUGUACAUAUAAAAAGAAAAGGUGGAUGGUUUAUAAUUCUACUGAAGUGUGAAUGUGAGAUUCUCCAGUCAAGAAAAGAAAAAAAUAAGAGCAAGUAGAAAAGCCCAAAACAUUGACAAGUUAAUUCCGCUUUUACCCUUGCAUCGUGGCUAGUCGUCCUCUACCUCGAAUAAGAAUAAGAAAUAAAAAAGUUUUGAACCUGUCAGACAACCGUGUAACCAUCUCAGCCAGUGGUGAACACAGCCUGAGAACGAUCCUCCACUGCCACAGAUGAUUCUCUCUCAAAGGAGAGAUCAUCAUAGCCAUUAAUCACGCUCUGAUUACACGGUCAUGAUUCAUCAACCAGGUUUAGGUUCUUGUCUCCUUAGAACUCAAGGACACAAUGGUACGAGCCUAUAGAACAGAUCCUGUUCAAG
rnacentral:lncRNA from 1 species